rnacentral:rRNA from 1 species
ACGGUCAUGCCACAUUGAAAAAAAAAAACGGUUCUCAUCCGAUUACCAGAAGUUAAGCAAUGUCAUGCCCGGUCAGUAUUUGGGAGGGUGAUCACUUGUAAGCU